UUAUUCACCAUCUUCAAUAAUAACAACAACAACAACAACAACGAUAUUAUUUUAAAUCCAAUAAUUAAUUUGUUUCAGCCAAAUAUCCGUGUGAUAUGCAGCAAUAUUACAAAUAGUCGAAUCAUGACCAGGAAAUGAUUUAAAAUUUGAAAUCUCAGGAAUAGCCGUGAUAAAUUCAUUUCAACGAUCCGACUAUUCGAUUCUAAAAUCAAUUCAUCUUAAUAUAUAAUUUAAAUCAACUACAUUGAUCAUUGUCUCUAAAUGUUUACCAUAAGAAUCUCAAAUCAUCAUAAUUAUCCACAACAAUUUAAGCAAUUUAAUGUUAAUUAUAAUUAUCACCAUCAUAACAUUAUUAAUUAUAAGAAAUUAAUAAUUACUUCAUCAAUUCAAAAAACAAGAAAAACUAGACAUUUAAUGCAAACGAAUAAGUGUGAAAUUUAUCUAUUAUCGAUCCAUUCAAUUGGAUCGAAAUUAAACAUCACCUGAUAUCAUUCAUUUAAACCAUUAAUUCUUGUAGCCAUUCAUCAUCAUAUCCACCCACAUUGUUCAUGUUCGCUCAAUGAUCUCGUAAUAAUAUAGUCUGCUAUUGGUUAUAUAUAAUGAAAACAUCUAUUUUCUCAAGCAACAAAUAUUUAAUACAAUAAAUGAAAUUCAUAGCCGUGCCACCACUAUCAAUCUAGAUUUUGUUUAGUUACAAUCAGUUUGCCUACAACAAUAGAUCGAUUAAUCAAUCAAUCAAAAUUUUAAUAAUUAUUGUUUCACCUUUCUCUCUCUCUCUCUCUUUCUCACUCUCUUUAUUUAAAUUCUGAUCUGGUCGAAAUGAAAAAAGAAAAUUUCCAUACACCGGGGGAUGAUUGGACAUAAUCUUCAUAUUUCUAUUGUUAAUAGCGGCAUUGAUGAUUCAAAAAAAAAAUUGUGACAAUCAUCUUCAUCAUCAUCUGCAUCUUGGUUGUCAUUCAUUUGUCCUA